UUAGGAGAGAGGAUUUCCAUUGACCUGCAGACUUGCUAUGAGGUGGUUGGUGCCAUUGGUGAUCCAGCAAAAAGGGUAAGAGCUGGUAGGAUGAACCUGUUUUGUUCUGUGCUCCCUGCAUUCACCAUCACCUUUCCAUGCAAUCAGAGCUUACAGAAUCCUACAGGAUAGUACAUAGAUAUUUAAUCUGACAGCACAGUGAGCUCCGUGGGGUUCGGUGCUCCUCCUCCUGCUGCACCACUGCACCUUCCUCCCCAGGAACUGACACAGGACGGCUCCCAGUCCUUUUUCCUGCAGUCCAGACAGUCUCUGGGCCACCUGGGGAAGGAGAAUGAAGAAUAUCAAGCCGGUCUGAAAUCCAUCAACCAGCGUUGAGAAAAAACAUACGAAGGGGAAGCCAAAGCAGAAGUAAGCAAAGCUGUUCUGUUGGCUGAAUUCCUCCGGCUCGUUGUGUCCCGCUAUUCAGAUUGAGUCACAACAGGCACUUCUGCUUUGUGCACCUGAAUGUAGGGGGAAAGGAAGAGAUGGCAACAGUGCUCUUCCUCGCUGCCAUUGGCAGAGAAUGCUGCGUCUCUAUUUUGGGAUCCAUCACAGUGCAGGAGGGAUUGGAAUUCUGGAAUAAAUCCUAUGAUUUUUGUUCUUUUUGGUGCCUGA